rnacentral:lncRNA from 1 species
UAUAUAUACAUCAUACGUACCCGGCCCUCUAGUGAGGGACUCGGUGAAAUAGUCAUCACAUCAUCUCCGUCAUCAUCAUCAUCAUAACCAUCCUCAUCACCAAUCAUAUAUAUAAUAUACAUACCCGGCCCUCUAGUGAGGGACUCGGUGACAUAUGCAAGAAACUCCGCACAAACAUUACCCGGCCCAGGACUCGGUGAAAUGAUAAAUGACUCUAUGCACGAGCAGAAUAUUAUGAGCAACCAUAUGCAAUUAAAAUCAUUCCUUAUAACUCAAUAGAACAA